rnacentral:rRNA from 1 species
GACGAACGCUGGCGGCGUGCUUAACACAUGCAAGUCGAGCGGAAAGGCCCUAUCGGGGGUACUCGAGCGGCGAACGGGUGAGUAACACGUGAGUAAUCUGCCCCUCACUCAGGGAUAACCAUUGGAGACGGUGGCUAAUACCUGAUAUGACCACGUCUCGCAUGGGGUGUGGUGGAAAGCGUUUAGUGGUGAGGGAUGUGCUCGGGGCCUAUCAGCUUGUUGGUGAGGUAGGGGCUCACCAAGGCUUCGACGGGUAGCCGGCCUGAGAGGGUGACCGGCCACACUGGGACUGAGACACGGCCCAGACUCCUACGGGAGGCAGCAGUGGGGAAUAUUGGACAAUGGGCGAAAGCCUGAUCCAGCAACGCCGCGUGAGGGAUGACGGCCUUCGGGUUGUAAACCUCUUUCACCCAUGACGAAGCGCAAGUGACGGUAGUGGGAGAAGAAGGACCGGCCAACUACGUGCCAGCCGCCGCUGUAAAAC